rnacentral:lncRNA from 1 species
GACAAAGGAAGAGGAGUGGUGAUGAACAUGAUUUGGAUGCUACAAGUAAGAUACCACUUACCCAAGAUUUAAGUGGUAAUUUUAAUUUUCAUGAUCUAAAUACUUUAUGUGAGGCUCCAACGUCCGAAACUCCAACUUCGAAACCCGAACUUGAGGUGCAAGAGUCUUAUAUGCAAAAAAAAGUGAGAUGUUUGACAAUGAUCUAUGAAAAAGAAUAUUUGGUUGAAGUUCGAACUAUUUCAAAUUCAGUGAAGUAAAUAUUAACAAUUUCAAAAGCGUCUGUUUUAAUAGAAGAGCUAUAUUAAGAGGUUUAUCGUAUGUGAUUAAUGUCUCCUUCUAGAAAUAAAAGCUUUUAUGCUAUUUAUGGAUAAACUAAA